CCUACGGGAGGCAGCAGUGGGGAAUCUUGCGCAAUGGGCGAAAGCCUGACGCAGCGACGCCGCGUGGGGGAAGAAGGCUUUCGGGUUGUAAACCCCUUUCAGAAGGGACGCGGUACCUUCAGAAGAAGCCCCGGCUAACUACGUGCCAGCAGCCGCGGUAAUACAUAGGGGGCAAGCGUUGUCCGGAUUUAUUGGGCGUAAAGAGCGUGUAGGCGGUUCGGUAGGUCCGUUGUGAAAACUCGAGGCUCAACCUCGAGACGCCGAUGGAAACCCCCGAACUAGAGUCCGGAAGAGGAGAGUGGAAUUCCUGGUGUAGCGGUGAAAUGCGCAGAUAUCAGGAAGAACACCCGUGGCUAAGGCGGCUCUCUAGUAGGACUGACGCUGAGACGCGAAAGCGUGGGGAGCGAACAGGAUUAGAUACCCUAGUAGUC
rnacentral:rRNA from 1 species